AUUGAACGCUGGCGGCAGGCUUAACACAUGCAAGUCGAACGAGUGGCGGACGGGUGAGUAAUGUCUGGGAAACUGCCUGAUGGAGGGGGAUAACUACUGGAAACGGUAGCUAAUACCGCAUACCAUCAGAUGUGCCCAGAUGGGAUUAGCUAGUUGGUGGGGUAACGGCUCACCCAGGCGACGAUCCCUAGCUGGUCUGAGAGGAUGACCGGCCACACUGGAACGUAGACACGGUCCAGACACCUACGGGAGGAAGCAGUGGGGAAUAUUGGACAAUGGGCGCAAUCCUGAUGCAGCCAGGCCGCGUGUAGGAAGAAGGCCUUCGGGUUGUAAAGUACGUUAAGCGGGGAGGCGUUACCCGCAGAAGAAGCACCGGCUAACUCCGUGCCAGCAGCCGCGGUAAUAC
rnacentral:rRNA from 1 species